rnacentral:rRNA from 1 species
CGGAGAGUUUGAUCCUGGCUCAGAACGAACGUUGGCGGCGUGGAUUAGGCAUGCAAGUCGAACGAGAAAGCGUCCUUCGGGACGUGAGUAGAGUGGCGAACGGGUGAGUAACGCGUGGGGAACCUGCCCUUGAGUGGGGGAUAACGUUUCUAACGAGACGCUAAUACCGCAUGAUACUGAACACGGGCAUCCGAGUUCAGUCAAAGAUGGCCUCUGUCUCAAGCUGUCGCUUGGGGAUGGCCCCGCGUCCGAUUAGCUAGAUGGUGGGGUAACGGCCUACCAUGGCGACGAUCGGUAGCCGGCCUGAGAGGGUGUCCGGCCACACUGGGACUGAGAUACGGCCCAGACUCCUACGGGAGGCAGCAGUCGAGAGGCUUCCGCAAUGGGGGAAACCCUGACGGAGCGACGCCGCGUGGGUGAGGAAGGUCUUCGGAUCGUAAAACCCUGUCAGGAGGGACGAAAACCGGAUUGGCUAAUACCCUUUCCGCAUGACGGUACCUCCAGAGGAAGCUCCGGCUAACUCCGUGCCAGCAGCCGCGGUAACACGGAGGGAGCAAACGUUGUUCGGAAUUACUGGGCGUAAAGGGCGUGUAGGCGGUUUCCUAAGUCGGGGGUGAAAUCCAGUGGCUCAACCAUUGGCCUGCCUUCGAAACUGGGGAACUUGAGGCCGUGAGAGGAAAGCGGAAUUCCUGGUGUAUCGGUGAAAUGAGUUGAUAUCAGGAGGAACACCAGUGGCGAAGGCGGCUUUCUGGCGCGGUUCUGACGCUGAGGCGCGAAAGCAUGGGGAGCAAACGGGAUUAGAUACCCCGGUAGUCCAUGCUGUAAACGAUGAGAACUAGGUGUCGGGGGUAUCGACCCCCUCGGCGCCGCAGCUAACGCAUUAAGUUCUCCGCCUGGGGAGUACGGUCGCAAGGCUGAAACUCAAAGGAAUUGACGGGGGCCCGCACAAGCGGUGGAGCAUGUGGUUUAAUUCGAUGCAACGCGAAGAACCUUACCUGGGCUUGACAUAUACUCGAUAGCCGUGGAAACACGGUUUCUCCGCAAGGAGUGGGUAUACAGGUGCUGCAUGGCUGUCGUCAGCUCGUGUCGUGAGAUGUUGGGUUAAGUCCCGCAACGAGCGCAACCCUUAUCCUUAGUUGCCAGCGGGUUAUGCCGGGCACUCUAGGGAGACUGCCUGUGUUAAGCAGGAGGAAGGCGGGGAUGACGUCAAGUCAUCAUGGCCCUUACGCCCAGGGCUACACACGUGCUACAAUGGCCGGUACAAUGGGUUGCAAUGCCGCGAGGUGGAGCUAAUCCCAAAAGCCGGUCUCAGUUCGGAUUGGAGUCUGCAACUCGACUUCAUGAAGUCGGAAUCGCUAGUAAUCGCGUAUCAGCAUGACGCGGUGAAUACGUUCCCGGGCCUUGUACACACCGCCCGUCAAGCCACGAAAGUCGGGGGUACCCGAAGUCGUUGACCCAACCCGCAAGGGAGGGAUGCGCCGAAGGUAAAACUGAUGAUUGGGGCUAAGUCGUAACAAGGUAGCCGUACCGGAAGGUGCGGCUGGAUCACCUCCUUUCUA